UUUUGUACUUUGUAUUUUUUUUUUUUUGUUAGAAGGUGGGGUUAUGUGCUGCAAGGUUUUGGCACAUAUAUAAAUCAGGUUACACAUACCUUAGAUACGUUAGGUUGACAAAAUCAUAUGUGAAAGGUGCACACAGCUAGCUGUAUCUUGCUUUUUUUGUGUGGCAAUACACAUUAGUAGUUUUUUCGAGCCUAGUGUAGAGAAGUUUAUUAAACGUUUGUAAUUGAGGAAUUUUUAUCAUAUUAAUAUUAAAAUAUGUACAUCUUCCAAUUCUUAAUGGGUAAUGACUGUAUUUGGUGAAUUAAUUAUUCUCUGUCUUUGUUUAUUUCUUAUAAUAAUAAUAAUAAUAUUAUAAAAUUAUAUGAUAUGGUCCAAAAAAAUUAAAAAUUAUAGUUUUUUUUUUUUUUUUUGUACUUUGUAUUUUUUUUUUUUUGUUAGAAGGUGGGGUUAUGUGCUGCAAGGUUUUGGCACAUAUAUAAAUCAGGUUACACAUACCUUAGAUACGUUAGGUUGACAAAAUCAUAUGUGAAAGGUGCACACAGCUAGCUGUAUCUUGCUUUUUUUGUGUGGCAAUACACAUUAGUAGUUUUUUCGAGCCUAGUGUAGAGAAGUUUAUUAAACGUUUGUAAUUGAGGAAUUUUUAUCAUAUUAAUAUUAAAAUAUGUACAUCUUCCAAUUCUUAAUGGGU
rnacentral:lncRNA from 1 species